rnacentral:rRNA from 2 species
UGGGCGUAAGCGCGCGCAGGCGGUUUCUUAAGUCUGAUGUGAAAGCCCACGGCUCAACCGUGGAGGGUCAUUGGAAACUGGGGAACUUGAGUGCAGAAGAGAAAAGCGGAAUUCCACGUGUAGCGGUGAAAUGCGUAGAGAUGUGGAGGAACACCAGUGGCGAAGGCGGCUUUUUGGUCUGUAACUGACGCUGAGGCGCGAAAGCGUGGGGAGCAAACAGGAUUAGAUACCCUGGUAGUCCACGCCGUAAACGAUGAGUGCUAAGUGUUAGAGGGUUUCCGCCCUUUAGUGCUGCAGCUAACGCAUUAAGCACUCCGCCUGGGGAGUACGGUCGCAAGACUGAAACUCAAAGGAAUUGACGGGGGCCCGCACAAGCGGUGGAGCAUGUGGUUUAUUUCUAAGCAACGCGAAGAACCUUACCA